AAGAAUUCCUGAUGGUUGGUCCGUUACCAGCGUGAUAGAUUGAACUUCAAUGGAUGAGGGAAACGCAGCAGACAGGAGCGGUUUGGCCGGAGAGCCUUGCACCCGUGCCGUGCUCCGAUGACUCCCAGGACAUCCGCAGGCGCAGCGGUGCGAUGGAGGCUGCGCAGGGCAGCGCUCUCUUUAGCAAGAAGCCUGACCUGAGCGUUCAGCUCCAGAGGAUG